CUUUAGCCCUGAUGGGAGCGGUAUCUUUUUAUACCUGUCAGGUAUAAAAAAUUUAGCGGACAGCAGGAAUAGGG
rnacentral:sRNA from 1 species